CAGAGACACAGGUUCAUUAGCAACCUCUGCUGCUGCCAUUUGUCCUCACAGAUUCCUGCCUUGCUCCAAGUAUGGCAGCGUGUGAAGGCAAGUGGGGCAGAAUGCAGGCUGCUCCUCUCCUGUUCUAAGGAAACAGUACUUGGGAGUCACAUAUAAGAGAGUUGAAAGCCAGUUGUCCCAGAAGGGCAAGAUGAAGAAUAUGUUCCAGAAACACACAUCUCAGCCGAGUGGUGGGUACCAAGGACACAAGUACAUCAGACAUCCCACCAUCCAAGCCACUAUGUGCCUUCUCAAGUUCUGUGAAAGUGAACUUGAAGAGCAGCCUCUCCUUUUAGCCUAAGUUGAACCCCCCACCACAGCUGGUUCCUUGUAGGGGCUUCAGGAAGGCUUGGGAGAGCCUGGGAAGGCUAAUGAAAAUGUCCUGGAGCUUCAACAAGGGUUCUGUCUGAGGAAGAUGCCAGAUCCCUGCUGUAAACAUCACAAUGGAGGAGAAUUCUCAAGAGUAAGCCUGGGGCAUUGCACUGGGAGAGGAGACGUGCCCCUUUGGAGCAAUGGCAAACAGCAGCACUAUACACCAAGUCAACAGUAUACUCUGAGCGGUAUCUAGGUCCCAGGCAGUGUGCUUGCAGUAAAGAAUGAAAAAAAAAAGUGAGACACAGACCUCGAUCUCUAAGAACUUUUGAAACAGGGAUGGAUGAUACACAUGACCAGAACCUUAUCUACAGCAUUUCCUUCUGGUGAACUCUUGGCCCAACACAUCAGCCUGGUCCCCGCCCCUGCCCAGCUUUGGCACGCAUGCAGCCUCCCUUGCUUCUUGGAACACAGACUGCCUGCAGAGUGUCUACGCUGGCCUUGCAGACAUUGCUUAAAUGGUGCAGGCUGACUGGGAGUUCAUUUUCCUGGCUUCCUACAUGAUAGCUAAUCUGCUAAUCAUACACUGGAGAACAAUGGACAGUCCCCAAGUGGCAUGGAAGGUGGAGUGGGCCAGAGCUGUCAGCACAGAAGAAGAAUCUGUUAACCAUGUGUCAGAAUGGAACUGGGAUAAAUUGGAAUUAGAGAAAUCUAUUUACAUGAGCGAUAUUCAAAGCCUGGAUUGAACUGUUAGCUCUGCAGAGAGAAGGAAAGGGGUGAAUUGGAGAGCAAUGCCAAGGAGCGCACAUGGAACAUAAUGAUAGCCUGGAAAGGGGGAGGGGUCUCAGAGAAGCAAUUGGCUUCGUGGAGAACUUUAGCUAGCGUCCUUCUGAUUAAAACAUGCUGAUGGGAAAGAUGCUGGGGGACAACCAGGCAGAAGCAUCCUGUUACCAGUUGGAGUCACAUGACCAAAGGGGCCAAGAGCACAGCUGAGAAGUAAACUGGGGAGAGCUGAGAACAAGUGCCGCAAAUCGCAUCUGCUGAACCUCAACGGUGCCUCACAAAGGGGUGUCAUUUUCUUCACACGUGUAUACUUGAUGACUGAUGGCAUUUGAGGUCUGAAUCUAAAAUAUACUAA